rnacentral:rRNA from 1 species
CACGUAGGGGCGAGCGUUGUCCGGAAUUACUGGGCGUAAAGGGCGCGCAGGCUGUUAUGCGAGUCUGCUGUGAAAUGUACCGGCUCAACCGGUGCCUUGCGGCGGAUACUGCAUAGCUGGAGUACUGGAGAGGGAAGUGGAAUUCCUGGUGUAGCGGUGAAAUGCGCAGAUAUCAGGAGGAACACCAAUGGCGAAGGCAGGUCUCUGGGCAGUUACUGACGCUGAGGAGCGAAAGCAUGGGUAGCGAA